GAAGAAGGAACGCAUUUCUUGGUUGUAGGAGGUGAUAGGUACCCAGUUUCCAUCAUAGUCUGAAAAGGAGAUUUAGGUCUUCAAAAAAUAAAAUUCAAAUAUCUUAAUUGUGUUGGUACCGUUACAAUGAUGAAUGAGCCCAGAAAAUGGGUCAGGUAACAAGUAAGAAAAUUAUGUAUUUAAGAAACAUAAAGAUACAUCGUACGUCCU
rnacentral:misc_RNA from 1 species